CCUACGGGAGGCAGCAGUGGGGAAUAUUGCACAAUGGGCGCAAGCCUGAUGCAGCCAUGCCGCGUGUAUGAAGAAGGCCUUCGAGUUGUAAAGUACUUUCAGCGGGGAGGAAGGCGAUAAGGUUAAUAACCUUGACGAUUGACGUUACCCGCAGAAGAAGCACCGGCUAACUCCGUGCCAGCAGCCGCGGUAAUACGGAGGGUGCAAGCGUUAAUCGGAAUUACUGGGCGUAAAGCGCACGCAGGCGGUCUGUCAAGUCGGAUGUGGAAUCCCCGGGCUCAACCUGGGAACUGCAUUCGGAACUGGCAGGCUGGAGUUUUGUAGAGGGGGGUAGAAUUCCAGGUGUAGCGGUGAAAUGCGUAGAGAUCUGGAGGAAUACCGGUGGCGAAGGCGGCCCCCUGGACAAAGACUGACGCUCAGGUGCGAAAGCGUGGGGAGCAAACAGGAUUAGAUACCCGGGUAGUC
rnacentral:rRNA from 1 species